AAAGAAACGAUAGACCAGACUGAAACGCGAGAAGCACGUUGAAUGUAAACACACAUGAGAUAAUAUGUAUAAUUUAGUCUGACGAAAUUUAUGCAGUUAAAACGUGAAUAUCUAAGCAUAGAAAUUUGAUAUAGAUAACCACCGAAUGGCUCAUAAUCCAGCGGCAUGUCGCGCCUAUCGUUCCAAGCUCGAAAGAUAAAUAGAAGCACGGGGACCAGCACCGCCUCGAGGGCAUUACGUCGCUCGUUCUCUUUCACGCGCAGCUUCUGUUUCGACAGCGCGUCACUCUCUCGUUGAAAAUGCGAAUACUGGUGAAAAGGAAAUGGGGAGAAAAAAAGAAUUGGUCGCACCUAAUAUGUAAACCUGAAUAUACAUAGUAAUACAGUGAUUAAUGAAUUCCCGAUUUGAGAGUUUUUUAUUCGUUUAAAUUUUAUAUAAGAAAUGUGUUGUGCUGUAACAACAUAUUAUAUAGGAAAGUCUGUACAGACUAUAGUUUUAAUUUGUCGCGUUUUAUUAGAGAAGUAAAGCUUGCGUGCUUCGACGGUAAGCCCGCACUUGUCCUUGCGUGCAAGUGUUUCGAGUUACGUUUUUAGCUAGAUGUUCUGAUCUUCUUUUCUUAUGACGAAGGCGUACUUCGUAAUUUUAAUUACAACUAUAAUUACUCGUAGUGAUAUGAGAUAACAAAUAUGAUGGAGAGGUUGAUACAAUUGCAUGGAUACAAAGGAACUAGUAUUACUUCAGAGAAAAACUUGUGACGACUAAAGCAUUACCUGUGAUGAUUGAUGAUGAUGCAUAAAGCGAUUUGAUUAUUAUUAAUGAGGUUACUAAAUGUUUAAAAGAAUUAUUACUUAGUUACUAUAAAUUAGAUUACUUAAUUACAAAAUAAGGUAUCGAUUUUAAUAUUAUUAAAAAUGCAUAUUUUUCUGUUAGAAAUCCUAUAUCUAACGAGGUAAUGCUGAUGUAUCAAUAUCCGCUUAUCCAUUUAGUGAUAACUAUAUAUUAUUAUGCAUGAUAACUGUGUUAUACACGUAGCUCGCUGUACUGAGAGAUCGCAGUUCUGAACAAAUCUAUCGAGUUGUAAGACCGAUUAUGCGAGGCGAUGUGACACGAUGUGGCGAUGUUGUCGGUGCGCUACAUGUUAAAUUAAUUAGGUGCAGUUGUUUUCUGUUUUGUCGUUGUAUGAAAUAUGAUUUAUUAUUGCAAAUACUUACAGUUAUCGAAAGUAAUAUAAAAAUUUUGAGUAUACCAACAACUUUAUGUCCGUCGAAGAUUCUUCGAGGCAUUGAAAAAUAAUUUAAGGUAGAUGUAUAGUAUGUACUUGUUAAAAACUCCGUUUUCAUUAGGAAUUCAUAAGGAAACUUGAUAUUAAAUCUAAUAUAAUACGCAUUCCCUACUUAUUGAAAGAGCACGAAAAGUUGUUUUAACUUUCUGAAGUUCUCGGUAAUUCUAUAAAAAAAAACCACAAAAUGACGAAGAGAAGAAAACAAAAAGGCGUAUUGGUAACUUUAGUUCAUCAAGCGUGUAGAUGGUCUGACAACAUAGCGGGAAAAUAUUUUAAGAAGAAAUUAGGUCGACGACGAAAUUAAGUUUUAGUGUAACUUUCUCAAUAACCGCUACCUUCUUUCCUCUCUUUAUAUUUUUUUGCCUUAUAUUUUAAUAAAUUUUGCUUUCAAGGAUGUACUAGCAUUUAUCGUAAUCUUAAUUUAAUAAUGUUUUAUGAUUAAAAUUGUAUGGGUAGUAUUUUCAGAUAUAAUAUUCAGAAUAUAUUUGAUUUAUUAUUAGAAAAGAGAUAAUUAAGAAAACUAAUAUGAAAUUGACUCAAAUAUACCUUAUUCUUAAAAGUUCUUGUCGCACAACCAAUCUCCUAUACAAUUUCAUUUUCUAUUCGUAUGUUUCAUUCCUGAUUUAUGUUCAACGAUUAAAAAUAGAUAAUAAUUGAUCUUAUUUCAAUUACAUUUGACGUCUCGUCA